rnacentral:sRNA from 1 species
GCAUUCGGGUAAGCGGGUUGGGUUCGGGUGAAACCUGAUCAGAGUAAAACCCGAUCAUGUACGGAUCUUUUGGAUAGAGAAGUUUAGGACCUAAUAGAGUAAAUCUAAAAUAUCGAUUCGGUUUUGGUUUGGAUCCAAUCGGGUUCGGGUCGUUCGGAUAUAAAUUUUUGGGUCUUUUUUGGAUAUGAUACCUGAAUUUUCAGGUAAAUACUCAUAUAUUUCGGAUAAAAUUUUGGGUUUCGGGUAAAAUUUAGAUUUUCCAAUAAAAUAUUCUGGUAUUUUCAGGUUCGGGUUUGAUUUUUUGGGUAGAAGAAUUUAGGACCUAAUAGGGUAAAAUUUCGGGUUCGGAUUCAGUUUCAGAUCUAUUUUUUCGGAUCAGUUCCAGUUUAGAUAAUCGGUUCUGGUUUUUUGCCCAACCCUAGGUGACACUAAAACAUAUUUUUCUUCAAUUAUAUUCCAACUUUACUUUUUUACGUAGGUAAAUACUCUUCCAUGGAAUUUAUAAGAGUGAAUAAGUGAGCUCUUGACGUAUGCAAUGUAAAUUUAUGUAUAGAAUGAACAUUCAUGUUUGUUGUCUAAUAAUUAAUAAGAAAUGUGACACGUUUAGGCACUUUUAGAGAAUUUUAUUCCUUUUGAGACACUUGUCAGGGAUGAGGUACUUUUCCAACUUUUUCAUUAAACUUUUGACCAAUUUACCCCUGAAAAUUAAGAAAUUAUAAUUAAAAAAAAAGUUUCAUCUCUCCACGUUCCCUUUUUUUCCUUAUUCUUCGUCGCUUCUUCUUGUCACUCUCUUUCUCUCUCUUCUCAUUAUUACUUUUUUUCUUUCCUUGCAAAAUCAAACAUUUGAGAGUUUGUCAAGAUCGUGUAGCUUCCCAACAAAUAUCAGAUUUUAAAUAUUAUAUC